rnacentral:snRNA from 1 species
GGAUCAUGUGAAGCAAUCUGGCUGUGACAUUUGUCACUUCACUGGUCAACAGGGUUAGUUUGGCUGAUCUGGCUGGCCAGGUGGGCAUCCCCUUUCUCCCUCACUGCUCCACAUGUGUCCUUCUCUGACCCUCCAAAUUGUGCACUAGGUCAGAGAGGAGGACUUUUUCCAUAAAGGAAGAUCAUUUCCUCAGUCAGGGGUAUAUGAGUGACCUCCAAACAAGUUCUCAACAAUGUUUCUGCCCAUUCAAAGUCAUCUUGUUUUAUUUU